GAUUUCCAUGGCGACCGAUGGCGCCGCCUUCCGCAGCCUUAGGGCGGGGUAAGCGGGGGACCUAACUCUCCGUCCAGGCACUCAGUGCCCGACCUGCAAGUGGGGACGGAAUUCUCGUCCAGGACAGUCAGGCUAAGAAAUUCAAAUGCUUUGGACAGACUCACCGACUGCCCGGCUGAGAGAAUCUGUGAGGUCUACCUGCCUAGCAAUUUGCCUUUGCACGGUCCUCCUGUGAGGAGUGAGGACACACAGCUAUCUGGAGUCUGUAUUUGCCAACGCCCAGACAAGUUAAGCAACUUCUGAAAGGUCACACAACAGCUCCCCUGGUACUGAGGACUAGAAAAGAACAUCCAAAGAAGAGAGGCGUUCAACAGCCUUGUGCAACAGGUCUG